rnacentral:lncRNA from 1 species
UGCUAUUCUGCUGCGGAAAAGUGCUCUGGACCGCCUGAGCACGGGCAGCGUCAGCGCCAUAAAGCGACCCGAGCCUCUGCCCCUCUGUGGCUCACCAGAAAAGAUUAAAACAAAAUAUUUAUUUUUUAAAAGAAGCAGUAACCUUUCUUCUUAGCACAUUGAAAUGCUACUUCCUGGAUUCGUCUCUGCAGCUUCCCUCCAUCCAAAGAGCCAUGUUUGAUGCCUGGUCAGCUUGAAAAAUGAUGCUUUUGUGCUAUAUGCUGAAACACAUGACGUAACUGAUGGCCAGGAUAAGAGUCAGAUGCUCAGCAAGGGUAAAUUGCCAUGGCUUCAGUCAAGUGCACCUGGCACUUCAACAGAUACAGAGAAGACCUGGAACCACCUGUCCCAGCAGCCUGAGAGGGCAAGGACAACCCAUGGUCCACAGAUCAACAAACAGCCUUCAAAGGAUGCCUGGAGAAGCUGGAGUUCUUUGUCUUUUGCCAAAUAUUGCUGCUGAAAUCUUUAUUUGAAAUGUGCCAGGGUGUUAGAAGAUGGACUUCUUUCACACUUGGCAGAAUUUCUUAUCUUUACAUGCACCUCACUGGCUUGAUAAACACAUUUUAUUUAAUCUCAUAAAUCAAAGGUUUGUAGUGGCCCUUGCUGCUUCCCAUGGAAAGUGUGCUGCUCUGUGUUAUACAUGGGCCAUGUUGCACUGGCCUGUACCUCAGGAGGCCAUAUAUCAUAAAGACACAUAAAGCAGGAGCAUUUCCUUAUUGAAAAUUACCCAUGUUUCCUAUGGAGAACUGACUUGGGGCAUUUUCUGAGUUUUUUAUGAUUUGGGCUUUUAUAUUCCUUAAAUCAGGCCUAGUUUAGCACUUCAGCACUUUACCAGCCCAUGCCACAGCCUGAGGCUGGUUGCUGAGAGCACCUAGUCCUGUGAUGUCCUCACUGUGCUGGCUAACAGGAGGUGACAACACCUGUGGGGCAAGCCUGGCUCCCAGGACAGGGACCUGA